rnacentral:rRNA from 1 species
AGAGUUUGAUCCUGGCUCAGGACGAACGCUGGCGGCGUGCUUAAUACAUGCAAGUCGAGCGAGGUUACUGUUUUGGAUCCCUUCGGGGUGAAGAAGCUUUAACCUAGCGGCGGACGGGUGAGUAACGCGUGGGUAACCUACCCCAAAGUCCGGGAUAACAGCGGGAAACCGCUGCUAAUACCGGAUGCCUUUACCUUGGGGCAUCUUGAGGUAAAGAAAGGUAACGCUUUGGGAUGGGCCCGCGUCCCAUUAGCUAGUUGGUGAGGUAACGGCUCACCAAGGCGACGAUGGGUAGCCGGCCUGAGAGGGUGGACGGCCACACUGGGACUGAGACACGGCCCAGACUCCUACGGGAGGCAGCAGUAGGGAAUAUUGCGCAAUGGACGGAAGUCUGACGCAGCGACGCCGCGUGAGCGAUGAAGGUCUUCGGAUCGUAAAGCUCUGUCCUUGGGGAAGAAGGCGAAAGCUUGACGGUACCCAAGAAGAAAGCCCCGGCUAACUACGUGCCAGCAGCCGCGGUAAUACGUAGGGGGCGAGCGUUGUCCGGAAUUACUGGGCGUAAAGGGUGCGUAGGCGGCCCUUUAAGUCGGAUGUGAAAGCCCGCGGCUUAACCGCGGAAUGGCAUUCGAAACUGGAGGGCUUGAGUGUCGGAGAGGGUAGUGGAAUUCCCAGUGUAGCGGUGAAAUGCGUAGAUAUUGGGAGGAACACCAGUGGCGAAGGCGACUACCUGGACGAUAACUGACGCUGAGGCACGAAAGCUAGGGGAGCAAACAGGAUUAGAUACCCUGGUAGUCCUAGCCGUAAACGAUGGGUACUAGGUGUGGGUGGUUUCGAUACCAUCCGUGCCGUAGUUAACGCAUUAAGUACCCCGCCUGGGGAGUACGUGCGCAAGCAUGAAACUCAAAUGAAUUGACGG